rnacentral:lncRNA from 1 species
CUCUACAGCCGCGCCCGAGGGGCAGACUCCACAGAUAUUCCCCUGGAUGAGGAAGCUUCACAUCAGCCACGGUAAUUCUCCAUCUCUCUCUCUUUUUUGUCCUCUCGGCAUUCCUGCCCUGUGCUGGGGGUGGGGGCGAGCAAAGCUUGGCUUUGCCUCAAAUAUAGAUUCCUUUUUUUUUCCACCAAGAGGGAAAAGUGUCCGAAACCGUCCCCAUAGCUCCAUAGAUAGAGCCAAACAGGAUCGUUUUCUGAGGGUAAGCAUUAAAAAAAAAAUGUUGCCACGGUCAGCUUAGGUUUUAUUUACCCAGCCAGUAGUCACCGGCUUUAGGAUGAAAGAUGGGAUUUGUGUAU